rnacentral:RNase_P_RNA from 1 species
GGUGCAAGCCGAGCGGCCGCUCCGCCAAAAAUUUUGGGUCCCGUUUAGGGCGGAGGUUCAUUUUGGCGGGGAGGAAAGUCCGGACACCAAAGAGCAGGGUGCUGGGUAACGCCCAGUCGGGGAAACCCGCAGGCAAGUGCCACAGAAAACAAACCGCCUGCUCGGCGGCGUGGGGGAUUUGGUCCGGGGACACGAAUGAUCAUGUCCCCGGGGAAUAAUUCUCCGCGGCGCUGGCGGGUAAGGGUGAAAAGGUGCGGUAAGAGCGCACCGGAGGCGUGGAGACACGUCUGCCAGGUAAACCCCACCCGGUGCAAGGCCAAAUAGGAGAGCGUUCACGGGUUGCUCGCCCGGCUCUCGGGUAGGCCGCAUGAGGGGCGCGGCGACGCGCUUCCCAGAUAGAUGGUCGCAUAGAACAGAAUCCGGCUUACAGGCUUGCUGACCCGAA